UACGUAGGGGGCAAGCGUUUGUCCGGAAUCAUUGGGCGUAAAGCGCGUGUAGGCGGCUCGAUAAGUCUGCUGUGAAAGUCCAGGGCUCAACCCUGGGAUGCCGGUGGAUACUGUCGAGCUCGAGUCCGGAAGAGGCGAGUGGAAUUCCUGGUGUAGCGGUGAAAUGCGCAGAUAUCAGGAGGAACACCAAUGGCGAAGGCAGCUCGCUGGGACGGUACUGACGCUGAGACGCGAAAGCGUGGGGAGCAAACAGG
rnacentral:rRNA from 1 species